rnacentral:rRNA from 1 species
GGAUCAAUAUGUCUGUCGUGCCUUUGGUACGUACGGGUAUAAUUGGUUUCUACCUUCUGAUGAACCUUGAUGCCAUUAAUUUGGUGUCUUGGGAACUCAGGACUGUUACCUUGAAAAAAUUAGAGUGUUUAAAGCAGGCAUACGCUUGAAUACAUUAGCAUGGAAUAAUGAAAUAGGACGUUCGAUUCUAUUUUGUUGGUUUCUAGGAUCGACGUA